CAGCCGCCGCGGUAAUACGUAGGUGGCAAGCGUUGUCCGGAUUUAUUGGGCGUAAAGCGAGCGCAGGCGGUUCCUUAAGUCUGAUGUGAAAGCCCCCGGCUCAACAGGGGAGGGUCAUUGGAAACUGGGGAACUUGAGUGCAGAAGAGGAGAGUGGAAUUCCAUGUGUAGCGGUGAAAUGCGUAGAUAUAUGGAGGAACACCAGUGGCGAAGGCGACUCUCUGGUCUGUAACUGACGCUGAGGCUCGAAAGCGUGGGUAGCAAACAGGAUUAGAUACCCCAGUAGUCCCUGUCUCUUAUAC
rnacentral:rRNA from 1 species